CAGCAGCCGCGGUAAAACGGAGGGUGCAAGCGUUAAUCGGAAUUACUGGGCGUAAAGCGUGCGUAGGCGGUUCGUUAAGUCUGUUGUGAAAGCCCCGGGCUCAACCUGGGAAUGGCAAUGGAUACUGGCAAGCUAGAGUGUGUCAGAGGAUGGUGGAAUUCCCGGUGUAGCGGUGAAAUGCGUAGAGAUCGGGAGGAACAUCAGUGGCGAAGGCGGCCAUCUGGGACAACACUGACGCUGAGGCACGAAAGCGUGGGGAGCAAACAGGAUUAGAUACCCCCGUAGUCCCUGUCUCUUAUAC
rnacentral:rRNA from 1 species